GUGGGGAAUCUUGCGCAAUGGGCGAAAGCCUGACGCAGCCAUGCCGCGUGAAUGAUGAAGGUCUUAGGAUUGUAAAAUUCUUUCACCGGGGACGAUAAUGACGGUACCCGGAGAAGAAGCCCCGGCUAACUUCGUGCCAGCAGCCGCGGUAAUACGAAGGGGGCUAGCGUUGCUCGGAAUUACUGGGCGUAAAGGGCGCGUAGGCGGACAGUUUAGUCAGAGGUGAAAGCCCAGGGCUCAACCUUGGAAUUGCCUUUGAUACUGGCUGUCUUGAGUACGGGAGAGGUGAGUGGAACUCCGAGUGUAGAGGUGAAAUUCGUAGAUAUUCGGAGGAACACCAGUGGCGAAGGCGGCUCACUGGCUCGAUACUGACGCUGAGGUGCGAAAGCGUGGGGAGCAAAAGGGAUUAGAUACCCGAGUAGUCC
rnacentral:rRNA from 1 species